rnacentral:rRNA from 1 species
UUGAACGCUGGCGGCAGGCCUAACACAUGCCAGUCGAACGGUAACAGGAAGCAGCUUGCUGCUUUGCUGACGCGUGGCGGCCGGGUGAGUAAUGUCUGGGAAACUGCCCGAUGGAGGGGGAUAACUACUGGAAACGGUAGCUAAUACCGCAUAACGUCGCAAGACCAAAGAGGGGGACCUUAGGGCCUCUUGCCAUCGGAUGUGCCCAGAUGGGAUUAGCUAGUAGGUGGGGUAACGGCUCACCUAGGCGACGAUCCCUAGCUGGUCUGAGAGGAUGACCAGCCACACUGGAACUGAGACACGGUCCAGACUCCUACGGGAGGCAGCAGUGGGGAAUAUUGCACAAUGGGCGCAAGCCUGAUGCAGCCAUGCCGCGUGUAUGAAGAAGGCCUUCGGGUUGUAAAGUACUUUCAGCGGGGAGGAAGGGAGUAAAGUUAAUACCUUUGCUCAUUGACGGUACCCGCAGAAGAAGCACCGGCUAACUCCGUG